rnacentral:misc_RNA from 1 species
UUUCCGUAGGUGAACCUGCGGAAGGAUCAUUAUAAAUGAAAAACGAAUAACUUCAGGGAAGAAGGGAACCUGCACGGUGACCUCCCCUGUCGGGCCACCCAAUACCUUCAAAGUGCCGCCGUCCUAGCGGUGGCAGACGAAAAAAAAACAAGAAAAACAAAAUAGAGACAGGCACGGUGGCCCGUUCACCUUCACACAACCCUCCGAGUACCGCUUCCAUGUUGCUUCCCCGCAAAUCCACCUCUUUGGUGAGCGCGGGGGAGGUCCGCACCAAAUUCACCUGAAUGUCACAGCAGUCAGACAGCCAUUCAUGGAAACAAUAAAACUUUCAACAACGGAUCUCUUGGUUCCC